GCAUGGCUGAAUUCUGUUCCAGCUCUGUGGUGGACACAGUCAGACACCAUGCGAGAGUAUUGUCUCAUUUCUUUUAAUGAUGGGUGUGUUCUCUUCAGUUUCAUCCAGGAGUAUAGAAAUUAGU